AGUGAACGCUGGCGGUAGGCCUAACACAUGCAAGUCGAACGGCAGCACAGUAAGUGCUUGCUCUUACGGGUGGCGAGUGGCGGACGGGUGAGGACUACACCGGACUCUACUUUUUCGUGGGGGCUAACGUAGGGAAACUUACGCUACUACCGCAUACGACCUACGGGCGAAAGACGGGCAUCUUCGGCCCUUGCGCGAUUGACUGAGCCGAUGUCGGAUUAGCUAGUUGGCGGGGUAAAGGCCCACCAAGGCGACGAUCCGUAGCUGGUCUGAGAGGAUGAUCAGCCACACUGGAACUGAGACACGGUCCAGACUCCUACGGGAGGCAGCAGUGGGGAAUAUUGGACAAUGGGCGCAAGCCUGAUCCAGCCAUACCGCGUGGGUGAAGAAGGCCUUCGGGUUGUAAAGCCCUUUUGUUGGGAAAGAAAAGCAUCAGGUUAAUACCCCGCUGUUCUGACGGUACCCAAAGAAUAAGCACCGGCUAACUUCGUG
rnacentral:rRNA from 1 species